rnacentral:rRNA from 1 species
CAGAGGGUGCAAACGUUGUUCGGAAUUACUGGGCGUAAAGCGCGUGUAGGCGGCUUGGCAAGUCGGGUGUGAAAGCCCUGGGCUUAACCUAGGAAGUGCACUCGAAACUGCCGAGCUUGAGUUCUGGAGAGGAAGGCGGAAUUCUCGGUGUAGAGGUGAAAUUCGUAGAUAUCGAGAGGAACACCGGUGGCGAAGGCGGCCUUCUGGACAGCAACUGACGCUGAGACGCGAAAGCGUGGGGAGCAAACAGGAUUAGAUACCCUGGUAGUCCACGCCGUAAACGAUGGGUGCUAGGUGUCGCGGGUUUUGACCCCUGCGGUGCCGUAGCUAACGCAUUAAGCACCCCGCCUGGGGAGUACGGCCGCAAGGCUA